rnacentral:rRNA from 1 species
UUAAGUCGACCGCCUGGGGAGUACGGCCGCAAGGUUAAAACUCAAAUGAAUUGACGGGGGCCCGCACAAGCGGUGGAGCAUGUGGUUUAAUUCGAUGCAACGCGAAGAACCUUACCUGGUCUUGACAUCCACGGAAGUUUUCAGAGAUGAGAAUGUGCCUUCGGGAACCGUGAGACAGGUGCUGCAUGGCUGUCGUCAGCUCGUGUUGUGAAAUGUUGGGUUAAGUCCCGCAACGAGCGCAACCCUUAUCCUUUGUUGCCAGCGGUCCGGCCGGGAACUCAAAGGAGACUGCCAGUGAUAAACUGGAGGAAGGUGGGGAUGACGUCAAGUCAUCAUGGCCCUUACGACCAGGGCUACACACGUGCUACAAUGGCGCAUACAAAGAGAAGCGACCUCGCGAGAGCAAGCGGACCUCAUAAAGUGCGUCGUAGUCCGGAUUGGAGUCUGCAACUCGACUCCAUGAAGUCGGAAUCGCUAGUAAUCGUGGAUCAGAAUGCCACGGUGAAUACGUUCCCGGGCCUUGUACACAC